GGCCUUGUAGCUCAUUUGGCUAGAGCGUUGGCUGUACUAAAGCCUUCCCUUUGCUAGCGUGGGUUCGAAUCACACUGAGGCCA
rnacentral:tRNA from 1 species